rnacentral:rRNA from 1 species
CCAAUAGCGUAUAUUAAAGUUGUUGCAGUUAAAAAGCUCGUAGUUGAAUUUCGGGGUCAGUAGGUUGGUCGUGCCACUGGUAUGUACUGAUCUCACUGAUUCCUCCUUCCUGAUGAGCCGUAAUGCCAUUAAUUUGGUGUUGCAGGGAAUCUGGACUGUUACUUUGAAAAAAUUAGAGUGUUUAAAGCAGGCUAACGCUUGAAUACAUUAGCAUGGAAUAAUGAAAUAGGACGUUCGAUCCUAUUUUGUUGGUUUCUAGGAUUGACGUAAUGAUUAAUAGGGAUAGUUGGGGGCAUUAGUAUUCAAUUGUCAGAGGUGAAAUUCUUGGAUUUAUUGAAGACUAACUACUGCGAAAGCAUUUGCCAAGGAUGUUUUCAUUAAUCAAGAACGAAAGUUAGGGGAUCGAAGACGAUCAGAUACCGUCGUAGUCUUAACCAUAAACUAUGCCGACUAGGGAUCGGAUGAUGUUAAUUUUUUAAUGACUCAUUCGGCGCCUUACG